AGACCCGAAACCCGGUGAUCUAGCCAUGGGCAGGUUGAAGGUUGGGUAACACUAACUGGAGGACCGAACCGACUAAUGUUGAAAAAUUAGCGGAUGACUUGUGGCUGGGGGUGAAAGGCCAAUCAAACCGGGAGAUAGCUGGUUCUCCCCGAAAGCUAUUUAGGUAGCGCCUCGUGAAUUCAUCUCCGGGGGUAGAGCACUGUUUCGGCAAGGGGGUCAUCCCGACUUACCAACCCGAUGCAAACUGCGAAUACCGGAGAAUGUUAUCACGGGAGACACACGGCGGGUGCUAACGUCCGUCGUGAAGAGGGAAACAACCCAGACCGCCAGCUAAGGUCCCAAAGUCAUGGUUAAGUGGGAAACGAUGUGGGAAGGCCCAGACAGCCAGGAUGUUGGCUUAGAAGCAGCCAUCAUUUAAAGAAAGCGUAAUAGCUCACUGGUCGAGUCGGCCUGCGCGGAAGAUGUAACGGGGCUAAACCAUGCACCGAAGCUGCGGCAGCGACACUGUGUGUUGUUGGGUAGGGGAGCGUUCUGUAAGCCUGUGAAGGUGUGCUGUGAGGCAUGCUGGAGGUAUCAGAAGUGCGAAUGCUGACAUAAGUAACGAUAAAGCGGGUGAAAAGCCCGCUCGCCGGAAGACCAAGGGUUCCUGUCCAACGUUAAUCGGGGCAGGGUGAGUCGACCCCUAAGGCGAGGCCGAAAGGCGUAGUCGAUGGGAAACAGGUUAAUAUUCCUGUACUUGGUGUUACUGCGAAGGGGGGACGGAGAAGGCUAUGUUGGCCGGGCGACGGUUGUCCCGGUUUAAGCGUGUAGGCUGGUUUUCCAGGCAAAUCCGGAAAAUCAAGGCUGAGGCGUGAUGACGAGGCACUACGGUGCUGAAGCAACAAAUGCCCUGCUUCCAGGAAAAGCCUCUAAGCAUCAGGUAACAUCAAAUCGUACCCCAAACCGACACAGGUGGUCAGGUAGAGAAUACCAAGGCGCUUGAGAGAACUCGGGUGAAGGAACUAGGCAAAAUGGUGCCGUAACUUCGGGAGAAGGCACGCUGAUAUGUAGGUGAAGUCCCUCGCGGAUGGAGCUGAAAUCAGUCGAAGAUACCAGCUGGCUGCAACUGUUUAUUAAAAACACAGCACUGUGCAAACACGAAAGUGGACGUAUACGGUGUGACGCCUGCCCGGUGCCGGAAGGUUAAUUGAUGGGGUCAGCGCAAGCGAAGCUCUUGAUCGAAGCCCCGGUAAACGGCGGCCGUAACUAUAACGGUCCUAAGGUAGCGAAAUUCCUUGUCGGGUAAGUUCCGACCUGCACGAAUGGCGUAAUGAUGGCCAGGCUGUCUCCACCCGAGACUCAGUGAAAUUGAACUCGCUGUGAAGAUGCAGUGUACCCGCGGCAAGACGGAAAGACCCCGUGAACCUUUACUAUAGCUUGACACUGAACAUUGAGCCUUGAUGUGUAGGAUAGGUGGGAGGCUUUGAAGUGUGGACGCCAGUCUGCAUGGAGCCGACCUUGAAAUACCACCCUUUAAUGUUUGAUGUUCUAACGUGGACCCGUGAUCCGGGUUGCGGACAGUGUCUGGUGGGUAGUUUGACUGGGGCGGUCUCCUCCUAAAGAGUAACGGAGGAGCACGAAGGUUGGCUAAUCCUGGUCGGACAUCAGGAGGUUAGUGCAAUGGCAUAAGCCAGCUUGACUGCGAGCGUGACGGCGCGAGCAGGUGCGAAAGCAGGUCAUAGUGAUCCGGUGGUUCUGAAUGGAAGGGCCAUCGCUCAACGGAUAAAAGGUACUCCGGGGAUAACAGGCUGAUACCGCCCAAGAGUUCAUAUCGACGGCGGUGUUUGGCACCUCGAUGUCGGCUCAUCACAUCCUGGGGCUGAAGUAGGUCCCAAGGGUAUGGCUGUUCGCCAUUUAAAGUGGUACGCGAGCUGGGUUUAGAACGUCGUGAGACAGUUCGGUCCCUAUCUGCCGUGGGCGCUGGAGAACUGAGGGGGGCUGCUCCUAGUACGAGAGGACCGGAGUGGACGCAUCACUGGUGUUCGGGUUGUCAUGCCAAUGGCACUGCCCGGUAGCUAAAUGCGGAAGAGAUAAGUGCUGAAAGCAUCUAAGCACGAAACUUGCCCCGAGAUGAGUUCUCCCUGACCCUUUAAGGGUCCUGA
rnacentral:rRNA from 1 species